AGAGGUCUCAAGCGUUGUUCGGAUUCAUUGGGCGUAAAGGGUGCGUAGGUGGCAUGGUAAGUCGGAUGUGAAAUCCCGGGGCUCAACCCCGGAACUGCAUUCGAUACUGCUGCGCUAGAGUACUGGAGAGGAGAUUGGAAUUUACGGUGUAGCAGUGAAAUGCGUAGAUAUCGUAAGGAAGACCAGUGGCGAAGGCGGAUCUCUGGACAGUUACUGACACUGAGGCACGAAGGCCAGGGGAGCAAACGGGAUUAGAUACCCCGGUAGUCCUGGCAGUAAACGGUGCGCGUUUGGUGUGGGAGGAUUCGACCCCUUCCGUGCCGGAGCUAACGCGUUAAACGCGCCGCCUGGGGAGUACGGUCGCAAGAUUA
rnacentral:rRNA from 1 species